rnacentral:rRNA from 1 species
GAUGAACGCUAGCGGCAGGCUUAAUACAUGCAAGUCGUGGGGCAGCAGGUUUGUAGCAAUACAGAUGCUGGCGACCGGCAAACGGGUGCGGAACACGUACAGAACCUUCCUGUGAGCGGGGAAUAGCCCAGAGAAAUUUGGAUUAAUACCCCAUAGUAUAAUGAAGUGGCAUCACUUUAUUAUUAAAGAUUUAUCACUCGAAGAUGGCUGUGCGGCUGAUUAGGUAGUUGGCGGGGUAAAGGCCCACCAAGCCUGCGAUCAGUAACUGGUGUGAGAGCACGACCAGUCACACGGGCACUGAGACACGGGCCCGACUCCUACGGGAGGCAGCAGUAAGGAAUAUUGGUCAAUGGAGGCAACUCUGAACCAGCCAUGCCGCGUGGAGGAUGAAGGUCCUCUGGAUUGUAAACUUCUUUAUAUGGGACGAAAAAAGGCUUUUCUAAGUCGUCUGACGGUACCAUAUGAAUAAGCACCGGCUAACUCCGUGCCAGCAGCCGCG